GGAUUGGGAUAUUCCGACUCCUUAAGGGCCUGGCGCACAUAAGGUGUGACCUUUUCAUUCCCGUUGUUAUGGAGGUAGGCUCUCUAGGAAUCUGGGAGUAGUAGCUGGGGGGCAAGAGCAAAUAAAGAGCUCGAGCUUCUGUGGUCUCUGGGGAGAUGUUCCCGGGAAGCCUGUCUAGAGGGCGGAGGGCAGCUGUUGAGAUGGCGUGGCUCCCCGGCUCCUGCGCCCGCGUGGCUUUCGCGGCGGGCGCUGCGGCCCGGUAUUGGACAGCCUGGCAGGGCAGCGCGGGGCCGAAUCCGGCUGCCGUGGCUGAGGCUCAUGGAUCACUCUUUUGUGGUAGGGCCACAUCUGCCAGAGCCUGGAGUCUGCGAAGGCCGGGACCCGGUUCCCCGGCCCACAGUGGGGGUGUGCAAACCCGAGAGAACUGGGUUGCAAAUUCGUGAAGAAUCAGCAUCAUGUUUGGCAGCUGAGUAUUGGAGCCAGGAGCCUGCCAUGAGGUUUUGAGAACAGAGUGCUGUUUUAGAGCUGGCAGCAGCAUCUCAGCCCAAGAGAAGGUUAUAUUCCCAGAGGAUGUCAGUCCCAAGGACCAGUAGCUGCCAUCAGUUUGGAUUCUGAAAACUAACUGGCAUCAACACUGGGUGUAGAAACAUGCUUGCCUUAUGUAUCAGAGGACAUGCUCAGCAGAUCCAAGAGAUAUAUUUGGCAACUUUUUCUAGAAAAGGCACAUUGGGUAUCAUUCAUUACAUUCUUGAGUUUUUUUGGGUUUUUUUUUUUUUUUUUGAGACAGUCUUGCUGUAUUGCCCAGGCUGGAGUGUGGUGGCACAAUCACAGCUCAUUGCAUCCUCAAUCACCCAGGCCUAAGCAAUCCUCCCACCUUGUAGCUGGGACUACAGCUCACAGCACACCUGGCUAAAAUUUUUUUUUUGUUGAGACGGAUUCUCUAUGUUGCCCAGGCUGGUCUCAGGCUCCUGGGCUCAGAUGGUCCUCCUGCCUCAGCUUCCAAAGGCACAGGCCAAGUUGUAGCUUUGUCCCUUGCCAUCAUGCCCAACAAGAGGUUCUAUACCUUUUAAUGAAUUGACUUUCAUAAAUUGGUUAUGUUGGUGGGCAAAGUUCUUUAAGCUGGAAAUUGUAAAUUCCUCCUGAAAUGUUUUUUCAUGCAGUUACCAUGAACUAAUACUACAAUAAAGGAUGGUCUUGGGUGUCAAUUCUUGAA
rnacentral:lncRNA from 10 species